AGUGAACGCUGGCGGUAGGCCUAACACAUGCAAGUCGAACGGCAGCACAGGAGAGCUUGCUCUCUGGGUGGCGAGUGGCGGACGGGUGAGGAAUACAUCGGAAUCUACCUUUUCGUGGGGGAUAACGUAGGGAAACUUACGCUAUUACCGCAUACGACCUACGGGUGAAAGUGGGGGACCGCAAGGCCGCACGCGAUUAAAUGAGCGGAUGUUCGGUUAGCUAGUUGGCGGGGUAAUGGCCCACCAAGGCGACGAUCGGUAGCUGGGCUGAGAGGAUGAUCAGCCACACUGGAACUGAGACACGGUCCAGACUCCUACGGGAGGCAGCAGUGGGGAAUAUUGGACAAUGGGCGCAAGCCUGAUCCAGCCAUACCGCGUGGGUGAAGAAGGCCUUCGGGUUGUAAAGCCCUUUUGUUGGGAAAGAAAUCCUGUCGAUUAAUACUCGGUGGGGAUGACGGUACCCAAAGAAUAAGCACCGGCUAACUUCGUGCCAGCAGCCGCGGUAA
rnacentral:rRNA from 1 species